AUAAUGAAGCAUGAUGACAUUUUUGCUCUGACUCAUCCAUGGAGUCUAUGUUCAAUCCAACACUGAGCUUCAUUAA
rnacentral:snoRNA from 1 species